GAUGAAGAACGCAGCGAAAUGCGAUAAGUAAUGCGAAUUGCAGAAUUCCAGUGAGUCAUCGAAUCUUUGAACGCAUAUUGCGCCCUUUGGUAUUCCGAAGGGCAUGCCUGUUCGAGCGUCAUUAUCACCCCUCAAGCCCCUCGGGUUUGGUUUUGGAGGGUCUGGUCCGUCAAACGACCCCUCUUAAAGACAAUGACGGCGGCCUCGUGGGACCCCCGGUACACUGAGCUUCUUCAUUAAGCACGUAUCGGUUGGGUCCCCGGGUCCCGGUCCUCUCCCUUUAUCGAGAAACUUUCAAGGUUGACCUCGGAUCAGGUAGGAAUACCCGCUGAACUUAAGCAUAUCCAAUAAGCGGAGGA
rnacentral:misc_RNA from 1 species